rnacentral:rRNA from 1 species
UACGGGAGGCAGCAGGGGGGAAUAUUGCACAAUGGGCGAAAGCCUGAUGCAGCUAUGCCGCGUGUAUGAAGAAGGCCUUAGGGUUGUAAAGUACUUUCAUCGGGGAGGAAAAAACAAACUAAUAAUUUUAUUUCUUGACGUUACCCGAAAAGAAGCACCGGCUAACUCCGUGCCAGCAGCCGCGGUAAUACGGAGGGUGCUAGCGUUAAUCGGAAUUACUGGGCGUAAAGGGCACGCAGGCGGUUAAUUAAGUUGGAUGUGAAAUCCCCGGGCUUAACCUGGGAAUGGCAUUCAAGACUGGUUAGCUAGAGUCUUGUAGAGGGGGUAGAAUUCCAUGUGUAGCGGUGAAAUGCGUAGAGAUGUGGAGGAAUACCGGUGGCGAAGGCGGCCCCUGGACAAGACUGACGCUCAUGUGCGAAAGCGUGGGGAGCAAACAGGGAUUUAGGAUACC